CUAGGCAAAGCGAGUAAGUAGGAACAUGCUUGUGAGGCGAGGCGAGGUGAGGUGAAGCGAGGAGGCAAGUCAAUAAGAGCAAGCGGGCUUAAGGAUAAGAGUGGAGUAUAAAUGAAGGAAAGUGCCAAGUGCAGUCAUCAGAAGGAAUACAAAUCUUCUAAAAGUAAUAAAUUUCUACGAGAUUUUAAUUUAAAAAUGCUAGGAAUUUCGUCAUGAAAAGCAAAGGAAUACAGUUUACGCUGUUGGGCCAAGCUCCAUGAAUUACGUCGACAAUCACGAUUUUACGCGAGUCGAACAUGCGAACUGCCACAGCUUGGGCACUUCAAAGGAGGCCAGAGCGGAAAGAAAAAAGGCCAGAUAGGUAGAAAAUGACAGUUUUGACCAAACAGUAGGCACUUCGUAUGGUUCAGGCAUCGCAGAAUAAUGUUGAUUAUUCUCCCGAUGAUGGUAGUGGUAUCUGCGUUAACUUCUCCAAACUGAAUUCUUCAUGGAUUGUGUGACAAGGUAAAUUUGUUGGACAUUACGUUGGUCAUUAUCAUAGUGGAUUUGGUGGAGAACAAGAGGGAUCCCAUGGACAUGGACAUAAUCAUGGUGGGCAACAUGGAGAAUCAAAAGGUGGAUUUGAAGGACAAUUUUGUACCAAAUUUGUUUUUUCUUUACCAAAAUUCAUAUAAGGUGAAUCUUUUGUUUCCUGUGGUAUCUUUGACUUUUUUUAAGUCCAAUCGGACACGAACUCUCGAGAAUCGACUAAAUAGUUUAUAAGACAGUCAAAAAAGCAUGGUGAUUUUUAUGAAGCAAAUAAUCUUAAAUACCUUACAAUAUUAAAGAAUAUAUUCAAGAUUUAAAUCCAGGUUUUUUCAAAUUGUUUUCAAAAAUUU